rfam:Sus scrofa chromosome 8.
GGGAGUAUAGCUCUGUGGUAGAGCAUUUGACUGCAGAUCAAGAGGUCCCUGGUUCAUACCUGGGUGCCCCCU